CUUAACAGGGAAGAAAAUAUGUAUUUUAAACAUUUAAAAGCGCAAUGUCAUGGACAUUAUGUUUAACAUUAUAAGUACACGACGGAGACAUACGUUCUGUCACAUACCAGCAGGUAACGAAGAAGUGACUUUGAUUUAAAAGGAAUUGUCAGUAAAAGAAUACGAACUCUGGUUCAAUAAGAAUGUAUGCGCUGAUUGUGCUCUCCAUCCUGUUAGGGACAACCCUUGCAUCGUCUUGCAAUUAUUUCGGUGAUGUUUGCCAAAACUGGGAUUGGAAGGUUGGCACGUCUUUUAAGAAUGACUUUAAACCUGCGUGUCAAAAAUUAAGCGUUUGUUACAACUGUGGUAUGGUACUCGGUAACUUCAAUAAAUGGAGAUGUGAUAUGCAAUUAUAUACUGACCUUACAAAGUUCUGUCUCACAGUGGACUGGACGUGGCGUUGGGUCUGUUUAGCUGAUGCCAAACUGUAUUACAGCAUGGCGCAAAGAAGUCAACAUCACAAAGAAAGCAAUCAACAGAGUCCUGCCUUAUGCCCCCCGUUUUUUGCAGAGGGUUGCUUGCCAAAAUAAAGAGAUACACGAUCAUUUUGAAUUUUCAUCUGAAAAAAAAUAUCCAUUUUGUUUAAUCUUUAAUUUUUAGAAACGCUUGUAUCCGAGACUUAUAUACUUAUGAUGUUCAGUACUUACAAAACAUGAUAAAAUGUCAUUUUCUCAAAACUAACCUAACUCACAAAACAAAAAUGUAUUUGAAAUACUUAACCGACACUUGAACAAACAGCUGCAGUUAGUGAAUCUAAAUUUUAAAUGUUUUACACUGUAAUCCAUGUAAUUAGUUUUCAUGUCAAAUAACUGGAGUGUAAGCAAAAAGUUUACCCAUAAUAUCAAUGAAAUAAAGUCUCUAUCUCUU